UACGUAGGGACCGAGCGUUGUCCGGAUUCAUUGGGCGUAAAGAGCUCGUAGGCGGCCACUCAAGUCGAAUGUGAAACCUCGAGGCUUAACCUCGAGCCUGCAUUCGAUACUGGGCGGCUAGAGUCUGGUAGGGGGAUCUGGAAUUCCUGGUGUAGCGGUGGAAUGCGCAGAUAUCAGGAGGAACACCGGUGGCGAAGGCGGGUCUCUGGGCAGUAACUGACGCUGAGGAGCGAAAGCGUGGGGAGCGAACAGG
rnacentral:rRNA from 1 species